CCGGAUAGUGUUAACCUGGGCUUUUGUACGACCCGAUUUUCCAAGAGUUUAAAUUUUAUGCGUCAGAAAGCGAGUAAAACGGAUAUGAUCAUAUGCAACCGAUCGAUGAUACCGACCGCUGUAUGCGGUAUGUCUUUCAAAACUGUAGGCUGAUCAGAGUUAACAGUAAUUUCGCUAAAGAACUAAAGAAGACAAGUCCGUUCUUAUCAGUGGCAUGGCUCGUCUUUCUCUUGGUCUUCUUCUCAUGUGCCUGUGGAGUUUUCUUGAGGAUCUUGCGCCUCUGACGACUCAAAAUAUUUUCUUUGGCUUUGAUUGCGCUUUGCAGUCUCAAACGGAUUAGCUGGUACGUCUUUAUGUGCUACUCGCACUCGGUUUCCCUUAUGGCUUUGCUCGUGCCUCUUACGGUAAUCGUCGGGCCGUAUAUUAGAUAACUUUUAUGGUUAAUACGUUUUCCCUCGUGAAGUAAAUAAUAAAGUUUCUAUAGUCG